CAGCUCCUCCAUACUAAUCGCGGCACCCAGCAGAGCUCUCCGUCGCGCGACAUCCCCGUGGCUGCCGGCCUCUCUCUUUCCCUGAGCUGCCGGCCUCGCCCCAUCCUUCCCAUGGCUGCGCGCCCGAGGCCGCGGAACGGCAUUGCGGCGGUGGCGAGUCGGGGAACGGGGCUUAUGGCGUAUCUCCAAUCGACUAAAGAGGAGGAGCUCGGGCGGUGCUCCACCCCCCUUUCUCAGAUGCGCGGCCGUUGGCACCAGCGGUGCUGAACACUGCUCCCGCACCCACCCUUGGUCCCAGGCCAGCACCCUUAUUCGCACUUCCUGACGGAGUUGGUGGAGGAGCCUGGCGCCCUCCUCUCCUCCACAAGUGGCUCAUGGUGCGGAUGAGGAUCUACGCACCCUCCCCUCUUCCCGGAAGUGGCGAUUAUGGGAGGAGGUACCCCUGUCUGUUGUGCUAUCCCCUGAUGCAGCCAUGGCCCAUGGCGUGCCUGGUAGCGCGGUGGAGGAGAUCGGCACCCUCCUCUUCUCCCGAGGCGGCUGGCGACAUGGAUGAAGAUCUGGGCGCCCUCCUCUCUCUCUCUAUCUCGAGACGGCAUGCUUAUGGCCCAUAAGUAUGGGAGGAGCCGACGCGGGCGGUGCUCACUCCCGGGUGCAUCUACUGUCUCUUAUUCCUGUUUCGCUGUGUGGAAACGUGAGCGUAAGGAGCCAAUCUAUGUAGGUGCUGCAGCCUGCAGCACUGUGUGCAUUGUGGAUGUCUGAUGAUUCUAGCUCACGAGAUAUCAACGGAGAUAGACUUCUUCAUUGAAAUGAUUACAUACUCAGCUCGCUAGCCUGCUCCACUGCAUAUUUCUAUAAAAGAGCUAUUCCCUUCACGCAUCAAAGAAGAGGGGUUGUUACUGGCUUGCUAUCCAGUCAGCUCAUACGAAAGACACCAAUCCGUGGUUAGUUGCCUCAAUUUUCUGCAAUUUAAGCGCCCUGAAUUUCUGAAGUUUUAUGUCCUCCUAAAUUCCUUGAUUUAUUUUAUAUAGCCUAUUAUAAUUAUAUUCAUGCUUAUGGCUUCUGUUCUCUGUAAUUCGGUGAGCCGCGGUGGCGGAAGUGGCCCAACUGGGUAGUAGGAGACGACUACCACGCUAGCGAUCCAGCUUCAUGUACGGCUGACAUCUCGAAACCAGAACCCAAGCUUAAGAUUUUGAGUGGAAUACCUCAAGCUCAAGUUCUGGUAUGAGAGGACACACACUGGGUUCAGCCUGUCGCAGGCUGGCCGUGCAUUGCUUUGCUUCCAUAGAAUCCACUUUCCCUGCCACAUCUCAGGUCCGCAAGGCCUGAUAUGGUUACACAUGUGUUCAAGAUAAAAGUCAAUUACUCACUGUUGAUGCUAGGAAGGGGCGGUCUUUGGUCCUGUCUAUGCAUCUCUGAUACUAUUUGCAAGACGAUGCACCACAUAGCAGAUGCAAAACUCCUAUAUUCUCUAGAGUUUCUCCACACUGUGGUCCUACUAACUUCCCAUGAAAUAAGAUCUCACUAUAAGUUGGUGUUCCAAUAAUGCUCCUCCGGAAUCUUAACCAGUCGAUUGGCCUUUGCAAUGGCACCCGUGUCAUGGUUACUAGAUUGUGGUCCUACUAACUUUCCAUGCCAUAAGAUCUCACUAUAAGUUGGUGUUCCAGUAAUGCUCCUCCGGAAUCUUAACCAGUCGAUUGGCCUUUGCAAUGGUACCCGUGUCAUGGUUACUAGAUUGUGAAUGUGUCCUGGAGGUCAAACUAAUGACCGGUUGUAAUAUUUGUGAGCAUGUGUAUAUUAUACCAAGGAUAGUGUUACAUGCACCAUCGACAAAAUGGCCUUUUA